rnacentral:rRNA from 1 species
GAUGAACGCUAGCUACAGGCUUAACACAUGCAAGUCGAGGGGCAGCGGGAUUGAAGCUUGCUUCAAUUGCCGGCGACCGGCGCACGGGUGAGUAACGCGUAUCCAACCUUCCGUACACUCAGGGAUAGCCUUUCGAAAGAAAGAUUAAUACCUGAUGGUAUGAUGAGAUUGCAUGAUAGCAUCAUUAAAGAUUUAUCGGUGUACGAUGGGGAUGCGUUCCAUUAGGUAGUAGGCGGGGUAACGGCCCACCUAGCCUACGAUGGAUAGGGGUUCUGAGAGGAAGGCCCCCCCANAUUGGAACUGAGACACGGUCCAAACUCCUACGGGAGGCAGCAGUGAGGAAUAUUGGGUCAAUGGGACGAGAGUCUGAACCAGCCAAGUAGCGUGAAGGAUGACUGCCCUACGGAUUGUAAACUUCUUUAUAAGGGAAUAAACCCUCCACGUGUGGGAGCUUGUAUGUACCUUAUGAAUAAGCAUCGGCUAACUCCGUGCCAGCA